rnacentral:rRNA from 1 species
CCUACGGGGUGCUGCAGUGAGGAAUAUUGGUCAAUGGACGAGAGUCUGAACCAGCCAAGUAGCGUGAAGGAUGACUGCCCUAUGGGUUGUAAACUUCUUUUAUAUGGGAAUAAAACGUUCCACGUGUGGGAUUUUGUAUGUACCCUAUGAAUAAGGAUCGGCUAACUCCGUGCCAGCAGCCGCGGUAAUACGGAGGAUCCGAGCGUUAUCCGGAUUUAUUGGGUUUAAAGGGAGCGUAGGUGGAUUGUUAAGUCAGUUGUGAAAGUUUGCGGCUCAACCGUAAAAUUGCAGUUGAAACUGGCAGUCUUGAGUACAGUAGAGGUGGGCGGAAUUCGUGGUGUAGCGGUGAAAUGCUUAGAUAUCACGAAGAACUCCGAUUGCGAAGGCAGUUCACUGGACUGCAACUGACACUGAGGCUCGAAAGUGUGGGUAUCAAACAGGAUUAGAUACCCCUGUAGUC